rnacentral:rRNA from 1 species
UACAGAGACUGCGAACGUUAUUCGGAAUCACUGGGCUUACAGGGUGCGUAGGCGGCUUAGCAAGUCAGGUGUGAAAGCCCCCGGCUCAACCGGGGAACUGCGCUUGAAACUGCUGAGCUCGAGUCAGCUAGAGGUACACGGAACUUCCAGUGGAGCGGUGAAAUGUGUUGAUAUUGGAAGGAACACCGGAGGCGAAAGCGGUGUACUGGGGCUGGUCUGACGCUGAGGCACGAAAGCCAGGGGAGCGAACGGG